CAGCACUGCAUGUGGGGAGAAUCUCUGCCAGACUGAUGAGGAGCCCAAAAUAGAGGCUAUCGUGGUGUGGAGUGGUACAUUAAUCAAGGGAAUUCAGAGCCUGGCGCUUCUUAGUUUAUGCUGGAAUAAAUUAAGGCAAAAACUAAUCCAUCACGGUCACUCCCAGAUGCGGCCCCUUGCAUGGGGCAGGAACUGUAUCUCAGGGUGAGGCAUCGCUCUUCACCCGCUGCAUCCAUGAAGCUUGGAGGGGUCUGGCAGCCACUGAGGUGUCAGCUUGUUUGUGUCAUUUUGGUGGUCUGGGAAUUGAGUUAAUGGCAAGAGGCAGGGAGGACUGGGAUAUAACAGCCAAGAGGGAGCUGACUGUAUCAGACACCAUGGGAGCAGAGCGCUUAGAUGUCAUUACAAAAAAAAUAACCUGGCUUGCAGCAAAGAUUGAUGAUAAGAGAAGAAAGAAGAGGGGAAGGCCUUUUGAAAGCACACUUGCCUCAAUGAGGAGGAAACAGAAGCCACAAAUGUGCCUUGAAAAUGGCAGAGAAAACGCGAGAAAGAGCUGAAACCCGUGAAGAUCUUGGAGCCAUCCUACCAGCCCUGGGCUGCUCGCCUCUGGACUACUUCUACAUGGAGAGAAAGACACUUUAUGUUGUUGAAGUCAUUGUUUGUUUGCAUUUUCCAUGACCAGCAGAGAAAGUUCAACUUUACUGGUAAAAUAGAUAGGGUGCUAGUCCUCAUGGUGUUUAUAAUUUACAGUGGG
rnacentral:lncRNA from 1 species